UGGGUGUGCCAGUGGGAGUAGAAAUCACAGCACACUGGGGGAGGGGAGCAGGAGAAGAGCCAGCCCGCAGAGCCACAUGUCCCACAUCAACCGGGCAGGAUGAAGGAUUUGCUUGCAUCCCAUCCUGUGUGAUAAAUUUCAUCAACAGUGUCCAUUCCUUUCUGAAUCGACGUGCCUGAGGAGACGUUGAGCUUUAUCCACCCCCGUGUGCAUGCAGAGCCUGCUUCUGCUUUGGGAACCACUUGCUCAAUUUCCAGUCUGGGUGAUCAGCUUCAAGUUACUCUUCACAUCAGAAGAGAAAACUGAAUUUUAUUCAGUCUGAGGUUCUAGGCUGAAUUGAAGAAUUGCAGAAUUGGGACUUAAUUCAGCCCUGAGUAGGGGUUAGCAACGUGCAAAGAAGAGAAGCUGUGUUAUGUGUAUUAAACCCUGACGAGUGGAAGAGGAGACUCUGCCUAGAGAUCCCUUUCCUGAGAUGCUUUUGCAGAAGUGUGGCUACAGCCUAAAUCCAAGAAGAGAAAAUGACGAAACCGGGACUCCAGUGAACUCUACAGCCUUAAUGCUGCAUCCUGAGUGGGGCAUCCAGGCUCCAGAUGGCAGGGACCCACCGACACUGCUACUGUUAGGACCUGUUAGCAAAGGGCGACUUGCUGCAUCUGUCUCUCCCGAGUCCGGUACAGUCCUGGUUUCAUCACGGUGGUUGACUCACCCCUUGUCAAGCCCUGGAUUCUUCAAGCUAUACCCUCACACACACAAAAAAAGCAUUUGAAAUAUUUUGUUCAAAAGGAAUUUAAUGACAAUUUGAUGUUCCUAAGAAACUCCA